CUGCAGAUGGCCACAGGUAUCCAAUAACUGUUUCUGGACAUUCAACAACAACUCGACAGUUUCCUGUCGCUCGACGUCCUCAUCUCGUUUUUUAUCCUCCUUUAUACGUCGAGCGCGUUCCGCAUUUGCCUCGCGAUCUGCGAUUUUACUAGAAGCUGUACGAAUUAACUCUUCUUGCAUCCGCGCUUUGUUUUCUUUAGUCUGGUCCAUCUUCAUAACUUUUUCCACGUCUUUAUCUCUCUGUGGGGAAAAAUUAAAAACAU
rnacentral:lncRNA from 1 species